GACGAACGCUGGCGGCGCGCCUAACACAUGCAAGUCGAACGAGCGAGAGGAGGGUUUCUUUUUCAAGCGAGUGGCGAACGGGUGAGGAACGCGUGAGGAAACUGCCCCAAAGAGGGGGACAACAGUUGGAAACGACGGCUAAUACCGCAUAAGCCCACGACCCGGCAUCGGGUAGGGGGAAAAGGAGCAAUCCGCUUUGAGAUGGCCUCGCGUCCGAUUAGCUAGUUGGUGAGGUAAUGGCCCACCAAGGCGACGAUCGGUAGCCGGACUGAGAGGUUGAACGGCCACAUUGGGACUGAGACACGGCCCAGACUCCUACGGGAGGCAGCAGUGGGGAAUAUUGCACAAUGGGGGAAACCCUGAUGCAGCGACGCCGCGUGGAGGAAGAAGGUCUUCGGAUUGUAAACUCCUGUUGUUGAGGAAGAUAAUGACGGUACUCAACAAGGAAGUGACGGCUAACUACGUG
rnacentral:rRNA from 1 species